UGUGUGUGUGUGUAUGUAUGUAUGUAUAUAUAUAUAUAUAUAUAUACAUACAUACACACACACACACACG